CCUACGGGGGGCAGCAGUCGGGAAUAUUGCGCAAUGGAGGAAACUCUGACGCAGUGACGCCGCGUGCAGGAAGAAGAUUUUCGGAUUGUAAACUGCUUUAGACAGGGAAGAUAAUGACAGUACCUGUAGAAUAAGCUCCGGCUAACUACGUGCCAGCAGCCGCGGUAAUACGUAGGGAGCAAGCGUUAUCCGGAUUUACUGGGUGUAAAGGGCGUGUAGCCGGGCUGACAAGUCAGAUGUGAAAUCCGGGGGCUCAACCCCCAAACUGCAUUUGAAACUGUUGGUCUUGAGUAUCGGAGAGGCAG
rnacentral:rRNA from 1 species